UCCCACGGUCCCACCCAACCCAGCACAUCUGGCAAUAUUUCAUCCAGCACAUCCUACAGUACAUACCUUGACCUGUUUGAGGAAGAAUACCUCUCUGAUGACCCUGAUCUACAGGAAGCCAUUUCACGGUCUUUAGAUUCCAGUGCUAGUGAGAGUGAUUUAAAGAUGACUUUAGAGAGAAUAAUGGAGCGGAUUGCUUCUCGAGUAAAUAAUGACAGCACUGUACGCUUCAAUAUCAUAAGAAGAAAUGUGUGGGAUGGAGCAUCCAGAGCCAUGGGCAGAUCCAAUUUUUCACCCGAGAAGAAGGUAGAUGUUAAGUUCACUGAUGACUAUGGAAUAUCUGAGGGUGCUGUGGACAAUGGAGGACCUACUCAGGAGUUUUUCCGACUCUGUCUACAUGAAAUCAAGGACAACAUUGGCAUCUUUGAGGGUCCCCCUAAUGCUAAAGUCCUCACAUGCAACUCCAAAGCGAUGAAAGACAAUGGAUACUUCUACGAUGGCCAGAUCAUGGCAAUUUCAAUUGCCCAUGGGGGGCAGAGUCCAUGUUUCCUGUCUGAACUCUUGUGAGUGUCUUCAAAAGGGUCCAGACAACGUAAAGGUCAAAACUGAACACAUUACUGAUGAAGAAACAAGGUCACAGGUGCAGUCGAUCUUACAGGCUGAGACUGAUUCACAACUGCAAGAGGCAGUUGCACAGGCAGCCAGCUUGAUCAGUCUUGCUGGUCACAAUGUUCGCAUAACACUGGAAAACAAACAAGAGACUGCUUUGGACUUGGCUCACUGGUAUGUCCUCCAGCGAACCCGUGCACCAUUUGAAAGGUUCAGAGAUGGGUUAACAUCUCUUGGUGUCCUAGAUGCUAUCCAGAGAUACCCUCUACAAAUAAAGUGCCUUUUUGUGAAGCCCGAAAAGGGUUUAACAGCUGCUGAUGUGGAGAAUCUCCUCCAGAUCAUACACUCUGAAAGAGGGAGUAAUGCAUUCCGAGAAGAGUGCCGGGCCCUGGC